rnacentral:rRNA from 1 species
GAUGAACGCUGGCGGCGUGCCUAAUACAUGCAAGUCGAGCGAACAGACGAGGAGCUUGCUCCUUUGACGUUAGCGGCGGACGGGUGAGUAACACGUAGGUAACCUACCUAUAAGACUGGGAUAAUUUCGGGAAACCGGAGCUAAUACCGGAUAAUAUUUCGAACCGCAUGGUUCGAUAGUGAAAGAUGGCUUUGCUAUCACUUAUAGAUGGACCUGCGCCGUAUUAGCUAGUUGGUAAGGUAACGGCUUACCAAGGCAACGAUACGUAGCCGACCUGAGAGGGUGAUCGGCCACACUGGAACUGAGACACGGUCCAGACUCCUACGGGAGGCAGCAGUAGGGAAUCUUCCGCAAUGGGCGAAAGCCUGACGGAGCAACGCCGCGUGAGUGAUGAAGGUCUUCGGAUCGUAAAACUCUGUUAUUAGGGAAGAACAAACGUGUAAGUAACUGUGCACGUCUUGACGGUACCUAAUCAGAAAGCCACGGCUAACUACGUG